CGAAGGGUGCGAGCGUUGUUCGGAAUUAUUGGGCGUAAAGCGCACGUAGGCGGUUGGAUAAGUCUGUCUGUGAAAGCCCGGGGCUCAACCCCGUGGAUGGCAGGGGAUACUGUCCGACUGGAGACAAGCAGAGGUUGGUAGAAUUCCGGGUGUAGCGGUGGAAUGCGUAGAGAUCCGGAGGAAUACCAGAGGCGAAGGCGGCCAACUGGGCUUGUUCUGACGCUGAGGUGCGAAAGCGUGGGGAGCGAACAGGAUUAGAUACCCUGGUAGUCCACGCUGUAAACGAUGGGCACUAGAUGCCGGUGGGAACGACCCCUUCGGUGUCGCAGCUAACGCACUAAGUGCCCCGCCUGGGGAGUACGGCCGCAAGGCUG
rnacentral:rRNA from 1 species